CGGCGAGUGAAGCGGCAAAAGCUCAAAUUUGAAACCCUCGGGAUUGUAAUUUGAAGAUUUGGCAUUGGAGAAAGCUAACCCAAGUUGCUUGGAAUAGUACGUCAUAGAGGGUGACAACCCCGUCUGGCUAACCGUUCUCCAUGUAUUGCCUUAUCAAAGAGUCGAGUUGUUUGGGAAUGCAGCUCAAAGUGGGUGGUAAACUCCAUCUAAAGCUAAAUACUGGUGAGAGACCGAUAGCGAACAAGUACUGUGAAGGAAAGGUGAAAAGAACUUUGAAAAGAGAGUGAAAUAGUAUGUGAAAUUGUUGAUAGGGAAGGAAAUGAGUGGAGAGUGGCCGAGGUUUCAGCCGCCCCUCGUGGGCGGUGUACUGCCGACGCCGAGUCAUCGAUAGCGAGACGAGGGUUACAAAUGGGAGCGCCUUUCGGGCGUUCUCCCCUAACCCUCCACACUGCCACCGACAACAUAAUCCACCCAUUUCACCCGUCUUGAAACACGGACAAAGGACUGCGACG
rnacentral:rRNA from 1 species